rfam:Fusobacterium nucleatum subsp. vincentii ATCC 49256 Contig0377, whole genome shotgun sequence.
CUUGGUGAGUAUAGCUAUGGGGGUACACCUAGUUACAUUCCGAACCUAGAAGUUAAGCCCAUAUACGCUGAUGGUACUUGGCUGGAAGCAGCCUGGGAGAGUAUGGAUUUGCCAAGC